AAAUUAAGCACUGCUAGUGACCAAUGCAAUGAGACAGACCAAAUGCUGAUGGGAAAAAUAUUUUUAGAACGAAAUAUCGCCUAACAGGUGAUGGUGUAUAAUACUGUGGCAACCGUUCUGUACCUCACAGCGUUUCUGGCCAAUGCUGCAUCAGUCAUGCCUGACCGUUACCGCCAUAUGGCAGCUGCUAAGAGCCAGCACCUUCUUUUACAACAUGGCCUGGAAGUCGAAUGGAGGUAAUGCAGUCUGCAACUGUGGUCCUGCAUAGGACUACUCUACUACUUAUCCUGAGAAACCCUCUCCAUACACAGAGACUUGUACAGUGUGAACCGAACAGUGACAAGAGGAGAUACCAAGCCUGCUUAUCAAAGAACAGCUAGAUUUUUAAAAACAGGCAUCAAUAGAUUUUUGAGAUGUCAAGAUUAUGACUGGAAUAAAGUCUGGAAGCAUUUUGCAGCCCCUUUCUAAGUAUGUUGCUAUGGUAACCCCACCACUGCACAUCUAUCAGCACACUCACUCAUGACUCACAUACUGUACAUGCUCCCAUACAUAACCACUAUGAUCAUAUACUCUAGGAAAGUGUCAUGAAUGAUACUAUUUAUAAUGUAAUACUUGUAGAUACACAGGCAUCCCAAUGGUCUGUGUGCAACACACAUUCAGAAAUGGUUUUCAUUCUGAAGAGCAAGAGAAUCAUGUGUUGUGUGCACUGUGGUUUAUCCACAC